AAAGGAAUAGACGGGGACCCGCACAAGCGGUGGAGCAUGUGGUUUAAUUCGACGAUACGCGAAGAACCUUACCUGGCCUUGACAUAGGAAGAACUUACUAGAGAUAGUUUGGUGCUAGUUUACUAGAGCUUCCAUACAGGUGCUGCACGGCUGUCGUCAGCUCGUGUCGUGAGAUGUUGGGUUAAGUCCCGCAACGAGCGCAACCCUCGUGUUUAGUUACUAACAGUUCGGCUGAGGACUCUAGACAGACUGCCUGGGUAACCAGGAGGAAGGUGAGGACGACGUCAAGUCAUCAUGGCCCUUACGGCCAGGGCUACACACGUGCUACAAUGGGGUAUACAAAGAGCCGCGAUACCGUGAGGUGGAGCAAAUCUCAUAAAAUAUCUCCCAGUUCGGAUAGUAGUCUGCAACUCGACUACUNGAAGUUGGAAUCGCUAGUAAUCGUAGAUCAGCAAUGCU
rnacentral:rRNA from 1 species